UGUGACUCAGAUGGCGGAUGGAUACAGAACUCUCUCAGGCUAAAAACCUAAAGUUACUGAACCUACUUACAGAACUGUGCCAGUGUUGAACGGUUUACAGAAUAAAGUCUAGAAGAAGAGAUUUGGUCAGUCAUGUUCUCCUUCUAUCUCCUGCUGGUUCUUGUCUGCCUUCAGGCCUCCACAACAUCUGGCCAAGAUGACGAAAAAGCAGGAUUGUGCUGUUUUGAGUUUCACAAAAAACCGUUCCCUGCAGCAAAUAUUGUCUAUUAUGAAGAAACCAAAUCCGACUGUACUGUUCCUGGAGUCAUGUAAAUUUUCAACCCUGUUGAAAAUGCAAUGUCCGGCGC